CUCCCCUGUCCCCACACAAGAUGGACAUGGACACAGAAGAACUAGACUUGGCCAGGAAGUAUAAUCAGCACCCAAGAUCCAAAGAGCUUAAGUGUUACAAAAUGAUACUCACCAGAGGGACCCAGACAAGAGUUCCUGUUUUAGUUGGCUUCUCUUCAUUGGAAGAAAGAGAUUCACUCAAGUGACUUCAAGAAGAAUAGAGUUUAUUAUGAGGAUGCAGGUAAAAGAGCAUUUGUGGGGCCGGGCUCGGUGUCUCACACCUGUAAUCCCAGCACUUUGGGAGGCCAAGGCGGGUGGAUCACAAGGUCAGGAGUUCAAGACCAGCCUGGCCAAUAAG